GGAUUGUUUAGCAUUACUGCUGAGACUUUAAAUAUUUAAAAUAAAAUGUUUAAAGAAAUGUCCAAUUAGUAGAUGUACAGUCUACACAGAUGUGCAUGUACAUAUAGUAAAAUAGGAACAUCAGUCAAUAUAUACAUACAAAUAUGCAAGCUACACAAAGAUACAUAUGGAAACAUGUUAUAUUCACAAACAAUUAUGAAUUAAAAAUGGACAUGGCCUGAAGUAAUUUCUCAGUGCUUAAAGUGGAGCUUUUGCCUAGUAAAUGAUUGCCUCAGUAGAGGUAGCCAUCUUGUCUUCGAUUUCAUAAUUAUAUAACACUAUUUGGGGUGAGGUAGCUGGCAAAAGGGAGGCAGUUGCCCCUGGGACUGCUAGCAUAGAGAGGAUAGUAGGUGGCUUUCUGUAACUGCAAUAACAAACUAUAUUGUGUAACAGCAUUCUUUUAUUAUUAGUGUAAUCCAGUUCUUGCAAGAUUAAUAUAUAACAGGUGAUAUAAAAUUGAGCUCCCCUUAGGCCUCUCCUGUCUCUAGUAGUUGACAAACAUACAUUUACUAAAAAGGUAAAAUCAAAAUCAAGUGAGAAGCGAUCAACUCAUACAAGUCUACAUUAGUUAAUUUUUAGUAAACUUAUAAGGCAGCAGUGGCUAAUACGUAGGUCUCCAGCGUGUGGGAAGCUGCAUCUCCCAUGAUGCUUUGCCACAGAAUAUCAAUAUUUCACAGAACGUCAAAACAUCUUAAGAGAUUUAGUUCCAAAAUAAGGUGCUAUUCUGAGGCAAAGUGCUAAGGUCCAAUCACUGUGGAAACUAACAAAAUGUCUAUCUACAUUUAUGACUUUUCACUAAAAUGUCACCUGUUGUGCCAUGAUACAUUUCCUGCAAAGCAGUAGCUGUCACAGCAAGAGUGCAUAAUUUAUUAUUGCACUAUGGAAUAUUGUCCUUUAAUUUAAUUUGUAUAGGGCAUUAAGGACCUGCCGGCCUGGCAGAGAUGGUAUUGUCAAGGUCAAAAAGGGUUACUUCUUUUGAAGCUGGGACCCCCCUCCAAGGUCAGAUGACAGAAGGGGUACUUUGAAUUACAUAGGGAUGUGAAAAGGAUUUUACCAUAUGGAUGUGAAUUAAUCAAGGCUCUACAAGGUGUGAGGUUCUACACUUGGUGAGUGAUGAGUCAAUCUCUUUGGAUAUGUUAAUAGCCAUUAGCCUUGUUCCAGUAUCAUAUCCAAAGGAAGGACAAAACAUUAAUAUUUACCCCACAGCAUAAUAAUUAAGCCUUAUUUUUGUUAUAUUUGGAAUGUGACAAGCUCCAUCUUCUAAACAAGCACAAACAUGAGUGGCAUGGCUUGACCAUGUGGGAGGGAAUUGUAAUGUCUGCCAGGCUGGGUCGCGGGUGGGGCAUGUGACAUGUCUAGGGGAUGGGAAACUAAUAACAAAUUAUGCAAUUAUUAUUUCUGUGGCAGGUACAUAAGAGAAGAUAGAGCCAAAUGUUUCCAUUUGGAUUGAUG